CCUACGGGCGGCUGCAGUGAGGAAUAUUGGUCAAUGGGCGCGAGCCUGAACCAGCCAAGUCGCGUGAGGGAAGACGGUCCUAUGGAUUGUAAACCUCUUUUGUCGGGGAGCAAAAGCUGCCACGCGUCGCGUUAUGAGUGUACCCGAAGAAAAAGCAUCGGCUAACUCCGUGCCAGCAGCCGCGGUAAUACGGAGGAUGCGAGCGUUAUCCGGAUUUAUUGGGUUUAAAGGGUGCGCAGGCGGAAGGUCAAGUCAGCGGUAAAAUUGCGGGGCUCAACCCCUUCGAGCCGUUGAAACUGGGUGUCUUGAGUGAGCGAGAAGUAUGCGGAAGGCGCGGUGUAGCGGUGAAAUGCAUAGAUAUCACGCAGAACUCCGAUUGCGAAGGCAGCAUGCCGGCGCCAAACUGACGCUCAGGCACGAAAGUGUGGGUAUCGAACAGGAUUAGAUACCCGAGUAGUC
rnacentral:rRNA from 1 species